GCGGAGCGGGGGGAGGCGGGGGCAUGGCGUGUGCGGUACCGGCCGCCCGUGGGGCUCCCGCCAAGGCGAAGAGCGGCCUGGGGGGUCUCCGGAGCUUAACCCCGCUGCGGCGGGGCGGGGGGUCCUCCGGCAGGGCUAGGUCGCGGGCUCGGUUCCCUUCCCGGGAGCGGCCGGGCCUGGAGCUGCCGCCGCCUGAGGGGGGCCGCGCCGCUUGUCGGGGCGAGCAGAUGGCGCCGCGGAGGGGAGAGCGGCUCCUGGUGCGGGCUUUCGGGAGGAAUUGGGAGCGUUCCCUUCGCUUCAACGUAAGAAAUCCGGGUGGUGGCGUUCCCAGCGAGGCGUGUAGCGGCAGCGGUUGAAGGGGCGGUGUGCGGGGGCUGUUUUGUGAAGUGUUCGCCGUCACUUAAAAGGCUGUAAAGAGUCGCCAACAGCGGGCCGAGCCUGGAGCUGAUGAGUCGGAGCUGACGCUCGCUGGCCGACACAGGCUUUCAGGGACCUGCCCGUGCCUUGGGAGAUGAAGAUGGAGCUAAUUGUGGCUGCCCCAUCCCUGGAGGGGUUCAAGGCCAGGCUGGAUGGGGCUUGGAGCAACCUGGUCUGGUGGGAGGUGUCCCUGCCCAGGGCAGGGGGGUUGGAACUGGAUGAUCUUUAAUGUCCCUCCCAAUUCUAACCAUUCUAUGAUUCUAAUUAGUAUGUGCCUAAUUAGUAUGUGCCACUAGCGGUGGUUGCUUUGAGUGGUAUACUCUUGGUAUAUCAAGUCUUCAAAGCAAUGACAGCUUGGCCAUCUAAAGGGACUUGGGUUUGCUGAUACAUCACUUUCAUCAUCAAACGCUUGUCCUAAUUCUAAAGAUAAAUUACCUCCUUUUUUUUUUUUUCCCUGGAGGAAUUUGGCAAGUGGUGUGUGGUGACCCUGACUGUACCUUUUGGGUCAUUGGCAUGGGUGGGUUGUAGCAGGGAUGGGACCCAUGGGGUUGUUGGCUGUCUCCAUGGCCAUGCUCUCCUGCCAGGACCAUGGGGCCUGACCUUAACCCACAGGAAAACUCAUCACCAGGUUCUCCAGAGCGUGGCACAUGAGUGAGCAUUGCAGGCUGUAACCUGCUGGGGUAAUCCUCUCCUCAGCGAUGGUUCUUUGUUAGGACCAGCAUAAUAGCCCUGCAAUUAGUCAUUUUUUUUGCCCUGAAGCUGGCUUUGGGUCAUGCCUCUGUUUAACCUUGGUCUCCAGGGAUGCCACCCAUAGUUUUCUACCCGGGUAAUGAGGUUGCUCAGGAGGCUGGUGUUUUUUUGACUGGUUUAUUUUCCCCAAGGAGAGCUUUCUGCUACUGGCUCAGCAGUGGAGUUCUCUGAAUCAGACAGGUUUUUUUUUUCUCUCUUUUCACUGUUUUAGGCAGCAAGUGAAGUUGAGAGAUGAAUUGGUUACUGCUGGCUUUGGGAAUCUUCAAUCUGGACUCUGCCACGCCGUUAACUUUGCAAGCAGAAAGAUGACACGUGAAUUCUGGAGCUACAGAAAUGGAAUGAGGAGGAAUAUGGUUGUCUGCGUGCAGGGUUAAGAGGCUGAAAUUCUAACAGAAGGUAUCGUGGCAGCUGUAAAACCUCUUCAGACUUGCUCCCCGGAACAAAGCAGGAGCAAUCCCAGAAUCCCGAAGGAAUCAGAGAGGAGAGAGGUUGAAACCAGCAGCCUGAAACGUGGAGCUCUAAUUCACUUGGAAAUGCUUUCAUGGUCCUUCCUGCUCCUCAGAAAUGAGGCAGAGGAGUAGCUGUUGAGUGAAAAUGUGUGAAUAAUCCUCAAAUGGUGUUCAGGUGAAAGUGUCACUCUAGAAGGGGAGGUGGCCUUGUGGACACUCUUAAUGUGAAUAUGUAAGUGUACCAAAUAAAUGUAUCAAAAUUGAGUAAACCGGGGGUUAAAAUGCGUAAAGAAAAGUUAAAUGUUAUCUUGUCUAAAUAAGUAUUUACAAUGUUAAUGGGAGUGGCUUUUCUGCUUAUCUUUAAGGCAGUGUGUGUAUGAAUAAAAGCUUGGAUUUCUGUUU